rnacentral:rRNA from 1 species
AGUUUGAUCCUGGCUCAGAUUGAACGCUGGCGGCAGGCCUAACACAUGCAAGUCGAACGGUAACAUUUCUAGCUUGCUAGAAGAUGACGAGUGGCGGACGGGUGAGUAAUGCUUGGGAACUUGCCUUUGUGAGGGGGAUAACAGUUGGAAACGACUGCUAAUACCGCAUAAUGUCUUCGGACCAAACGGGGCUUAGGCUCCGGCGCAAAGAGAGGCCCAAGUGAGAUUAGCUAGUUGGUAAGGUAACGGCUUACCAAGGCGACGAUCUCUAGCUGUUCUGAGAGGAAGAUCAGCCACACUGGGACUGAGACACGGCCCAGACUCCUACGGGAGGCAGCAGUGGGGAAUAUUGCACAAUGGGGGAAACCCUGAUGCAGCCAUGCCGCGUGUGUGAAGAA